rnacentral:rRNA from 1 species
AACGAACGCUGGCGGCAGGCUUAACACAUGCAAGUCGAACGCGUGUAGCAAUACACGAGUGGCGCACGGGUGAGUAACGCGUGGAUAUCUGCCUUUUGGUUCGGAAUAACCCCGGGAAACUGGGGCUAAUACCGGAUGGUUCCUUCGGGAUAAAGAUUUAUCGCCAAAAGAUGAGUCCGCGUACGAUUAGCUAGUUGGUGAGGUAAUGGCUCACCAAGGCGACGAUCGUUAGCUGGUCUGAGAGGCCGAUCAGCCACACUGGGACUGAGAUACGGCCCAGACGCCUACGGGAGGCAGCAGUGGGGAAUAUUGGACAAUGGGGGCAACCCUGAUCCAGCCAUGCCGCGUGAGUGAUGAAGGCCUUCGGGUUGUAAAGCUCUUUUGGCGGGGACGAUGAUGACGGUACCCGCAGAAUAAGCCCCGGCUAACUUCGUGCCAGCCGCCGCCGUAAAAC